rnacentral:lncRNA from 1 species
AUCGCUCCAUUCUCGCUGUCAAAACAGUAGGAUUUGAGGGUGAGCUGGGAAUGAGAAUGGCUUGGGGAAGCCCAGGACAACCUGCAGCACACGAGGGAGGGUCCAUCCCCGCAGCACUACCAGCUAAGAAAAGGAAAAGAAUGCAUUGAGGCAGGCGAGGCUCAGAGAGGCCUCGGGGAAGACAUUCUUCUGCACUUAUGCCUGUAGGAACAAGAUGCUGAUCCCGGAGAGCAAGCCUCCAGGUCUUAGAGUGCUGCCCAGUCUGCCUGGAAGCUAUGGUUUCUGAGAGGCAUCAGGUACAUUUAAAAAAAAAAAAUCACCCUAGGAAAGUCCCCAAAGCCUUUCAACGUGCUCUGCGCUCUGUCCCAGAUGCUCAGCCUCCCAAGAGAAAACGAAGUAGAAAACAAUCAAGGAAUAAAGUGACCUCCACACAGUGAUAAACACCAUGACCAAAGGCAACUUGGGAAGGAGAGAACUUAUUUCAGCUUACAGUUUAUAGUUUGUCGUGGAGGAAAGAAAGUCAGCAGAAGUUGAGGUGGUAACUGAAGCAGACCAUGGAGUCUUCCCACUGGCUUGCUCACCAUGGCUUGCCAUCAAGAUAUGUUCUGCCACCUGUAGAAAGGCAGAAUACAAGUCUGCCCAGUUUUGUACUUUGUCCUUGUAUCUAUAGACACCAGAACACAGGCUGUGGAGUAGGAAGAGCUUUGGGACCAUUAGGACAAAUACUGACUUUGCCACUAAAGGACCCAGGAAAGCAAGUUUUCGUCUGUGUUAAAGACUGGGGCUCAAGCCACCACUGUUCUCCUAUGUGUAUCUGAGUUGAUUCUUCAACAAGACUUUGAACGCUUCCAGAGCUGGUGAUGCACCCCAGUGACCCUCAUUCUGCUCGCGGCUGUGGUUGGUGAAGACUCACAGUGGUGAAGUCACAGCUGGUUGCUCAGGACACCUGGACGAAGCUGAAAGAUCAGAGCACUGCAGCUUCUCGCCCUCCUGGUUGGGGGUGACACCCUGGAGACUCAGGGUCACCGGCGGCCACACACACAGCAGGACUGAGUCUCUUUGUCCUAUACAUGGUCAGGGUUCAAGGACAGCCAUUGUUAUCUCCCAUGAUCCUUCUGGCUACAAGAGGGAGGCCUCUGAAUGCUCCAACUUUUCACCAGGCAGCAUGAUCGAAAUCUGACCAAAAAUUGGUGGGGAGUGGUGGAGAGAAGCCCAUGGUGGACAAAAUCAAGACAUUGCUCUGAGGGUACAGGACACAGCACAAGCCUCAGGGUGGCUACUCUGGGAUCACAGGCCCAGACCUCCCCUGGAUGCUGCACUUUACACAUAACCACUACCCCUCAUCCCACCUUUGACCUACAUUCAGGUUUCUCUUGCAUGAUUCGGUCACCGGAGUGAUCCCUUCCUGCCUCCUUUGACCAAAGUCCCUCAGGAGCAUACACUUCUGAGCACUGGCUUUUGCCUCUGAAAUGCAAAGCUGAGGGCCACUGAAGAAGGAAAUCAGAGCCCGAAGUUCUACUGUCCCCAAAGUUCUGCUGUCCCCAUCUCCAGAAAGGAAAGGGGAAGACUCUGAAAGCCUCCUUUCAAGACUCCUAGAGCCCUGACGAUUUGACAGAAAGCAAACACCCAUUGACUUUUCUGUAAAAACAGCUGGCUGGCCACAGGACUCCUUAGCCCGGGGCUUCCAGGGGAGCGGACGGAUGCCCCAGGCCAGGACAGCACCAGACACAGCAAUCAAUAUUCAUGAGCAGGGGGAGAGGGAUGCAAAUGGACAUGAGGCAAAACCCUUGCCUUGCAGGGAGGAGGAUCCAAAUGUCCUGAGUUAAACACAGACCGUUCUUAAGCAAGGACCUUGCCUCAUGGGCACCUUCCUAUCACCGUGGACAGUGGGCCACGACCUCCAUCUUUAAGGCACAUACAUGAAGACAGCAUCUAGCCAGUACUAGGGACCCACCCUGGCCCAUCUCCAUCCACAUCUCCCUUAGAUCUGGCCUCCUUCCAACGUGUACACCAGAACCCUCCCAAGACGCUGCUUCUGGAAGAGCCCUCUAAAGUGACAGAGAGGAGCAGAAUGGUGUUACCUAGACCACUCUUAGCCUCCAUCCUGAGCCUCCCCCUGAGAUCACAGAUUUAUCCCAAUGGAAGCUGGGGAAGGAGGCUGGAGGCAGGGACUGAAGCAGAAUCCAUGGAGGAACGACGCUCACUGGACCGCGCGCUGCUUCUGCUCAGCCAGUAAAUGCCAUAAUGACUUUGGCCAGCUCUAUUCCUUAAAAGCAUUCCGUCUACCCCUGCUAAAGGAAAACAGACAUGUAUGUCAUCCUUUGAAAGUGGUACAUGGCACGAUUGAAACUCAGUGAUCUGAUGUAACUACCAAAACAGAGUGGCCAAAUCUGAUUGCAAUUACUUCCUUCUAAACUCCUAACCAGAGGGGAAGGCUAGAAGAGAAAGAUUCAGAGUCCACAAAGACACCACUAGGUUUUUAUGCUGAACUGGCCAGCUGCAAACAGAAAAAAAAAAAAAAAAAAAAAAAAAAAA